rnacentral:rRNA from 1 species
ACUGCUAAUACCGCAUAAGCGCACAGUUGCUGCAUGGCACAGUGUGAAAAACUCCGGUGGUAUGAGAUGGACCCGCGUCUGAUGAGCUAGUUGGUGGGGUAACGGCCUACCAAGGCGACGAUCAGUAGCCGGCCUGAGAGGGUGAACGGCCACAUUGGGACUGAGACACGGCCCAAACUCCUACGGGAGGCAGCAGUGGGGAAUAUUGCACAAUGGGGGAAACCCUGAUGCAGCGACGCCGCGUGAGCGAAGAAGUAUUUCGGUAUGUAAAGCUCUAUCAGCAGGGAAGAAAAUGACGGUACCUGACUAAGAAGCACCGGCUAAAUACGUGCCAGCAGCCGCGGUAAUACGUAUGGUGCAAGCGUUAUCCGGAUUUACUGGGUGUAAAGGGAGCGUAGACGGUUGUGUAAGUCUGAUGUGAAAGCCCGGGGCUCAACCCCGGGACUGCAUUGGAAACUAUGUAACUAGAGUGUCGGAGAGGUAAGCGGAAUUCCUAGUGUAGCGGUGAAAUGCGUAGAUAUUAGGAGGACACCAGUGGCGAAGGCGGCUUACUGGACGAUCACUGACGUUGAGGCUCGA